CACACAACGUAAGCGCCAGAGCUUGAGGCUGCGCGGGGGAGAAGGAUGAUCUUGGCGUCUGUUAGUCAGACGUUAGCGAUACCGGAUCACGGCAGAGCAAGCUGACGAGGUGGAGGUGUUCGAAAUGUUCGGCGGGGACCUCCCGGUACAGCGCCAGACCGUAAGCGGAAGCGGAAAACGAACAGGGCAACCGUUCAGACAACGCUUUUGUGGGCGUAUG
rnacentral:ncRNA from 1 species